GGCAGGAAGAAAAAGCAAAAGAGAGAGCUCAGUCUGGGACGAUAGGUUGUAUUAGGCAAGGCACUGAAUGCCUGCCAGAGAGUUAAGACUCCCUAGCAGGUAGUGGGGCCUGUAGCCUAUUUUUAAUGAACAGAGGGAGAAAACAUGGAUUUUUGAAAGAUCUUUCUGACAACACAUGGAAAAUGGAUUGGAAGGCUGUUUGAACCUGAUCUCAUUGCCCGCCACUCUCCCUGGAUCCGGGUCCGUCCAAACCGGCCUCCGCUGGUGCACCUGGGACUUGAGCGAGCUCCAGCUCGAGUGACGCCUGGAUUGAAGUCAUCUUUUUGUGAGAAAUCUCCGUAUGAAGAGUGUUUCUCCACCGAGGGAGAUUUUGCCCCCCAGGGCAAAAUUACAUUUG